CCAAAGGCUGAGACCCCAUUUCCCUCUUCUCCUUAUCCUCUAAUUCCCUCUCUCUCUCUAAGCUAAGAAGAGUUGAAGGGAAUUGGUGCUGGCAGCUUUGGAGGCUUGAGGGCUGAAGUGCAAAUCUGAUCCCAGCAGUAAACUUCUGCUGAUUGGAAAUACUACAAGACCUGGAAAGCAUCUAAUCAAGCUUGACGAAAUUGGAUUCUUUUACUGUUUUGAGCUGAGAACAACCUGUCAAAGCUUAAAUUAAGGAGUGACAGGAGUUGAAGCUUGACUGAUUUGAGUUGUCGAAUUGAGAAGUUGUUGUUGUUGAAGCUGAGGGCAAUCUGGUAGGAGCUUAAACUAAGGAAUUAAGUGGAAUUGCUGAAACAUCUUGGAGCAACAACUAAUCAAGCUGACAGCUUGAUGAAAUGAUGAUGUUGGUGUUGCCGAAAUGCAGGAAUGGGUCUUUGAUGCAGUAAGCAAGCAAUCCAGCAUCUGAUUAAGUGGCCAAAGUGAAGUGAAGACUUGUUAGUGCUGCCGAGUUCAUGAAUUCAGCUGAGAAGGUUUAGAACUUGAGAUUUGAAGUGAUCAAGUUGGUGCUGCCAGGAUCUGAUAUUGGACUAUUUGAAGUAGUAAGCUGAAAUCAAGUUGGUGAAUGGUACUUGGACAACGAAUUAGGGCUGCAGCUGGGCUGAAGUGGCUGUUCUUGGUGUUCGAAUUGAGGAGGGGUCUAGUAGAGCUUAAUUGCUGUUGGAAUUCGAAACAAGUAAUUAAAAGCUGAGCUUGGACUGCAACAGAGAGAGACCAAGUGGAAGCUUCAGCUGAGAGUAACUUGUUAAAGACAUUUGAUUGAGGUCGACGACGCUCUAAUUACGGUAGAGGCCGUUCCAGUUUUACUUGCAUUGAGUCGCGAAAGUUAGUUGUCGACGCAUUUCGAGACAUUGAUCUUAGUUGAUUGACACCACUACAGGUUCCAGUGCGAGCGUUGUGGCCGAGGAUCGAGGCAAGAGCCCAGCAGCCUAGCUAGUGGACACCCGAGUUUUAGUGGUUACCAGUUUGAGUUCAUGUAUCAUCUAUUUCGAUGUACAGAGACAUGUAAAUGAAUGUAAUAAAGUGCAUGUAAAUAAUUAAAUGUUUCAGUUAUGCAAGUUAGUUUAAAGUUUUAAAUUACA